AGUGAACGCUGGCGGUAGGCCUAACACAUGCGAGUCGAACGGCAGCACAGUAAGAGCUUGCUCUUACGGGUGGCGAGUGGCGGACGGGUGAGGAAUACAUCGGAAUCUACUUUUUCGUGGGGGAUAACGUAGGGAAACUUACGCUAAUACCGCAUACGACCUACGGGUGAAAGCAGGGGAUCUUCGGACCUUGCGCGAUUGAAUGAGCCGAUGUCGGAUUAGCUAGUUGGCGGGGUAAAGGCCACCAAGGCGACGAUCCGUAGCUGGUCUGAGAGGAUGAUCAGCCACACUGGAACUGAGACACGGUCCAGACUCCUACGGGAGGCAGCAGUGGGGAAUAUUGGACAAUGGGCGCAAGCCUGAUCCAGCCAUACCGCGUGGGUGAAGAAGGCCUUCGGGUUGUAAAGCCCUUUUGUUGGGAAAGAAAAGCAGCAGGUUAAUACCCCGCUGUUCUGACGGUACCCAAAGAAUAAGCACCGGCUAACUUCGUG
rnacentral:rRNA from 1 species